AUGCAGCUUGGGUUCGGAGGGCGGCUGAGAGGCGGGCAUCGGUCGGCAGCUGCCCUGGAGGUGCUGUUCAUGAUGCUGCCCUGGGGUGUGUGCUGCGGGUGGGUCCUGAGCAUCUGCAUGCCCUCCCCUGCCGCUGCACCAACACCUGCAGCUGCAUGCUCUCCCCCGUGGCUGCACCUGCACCUACACCUGUACGCCCUCCCCCGCGGCUGGACCUACACCUGCACCUGUAUGCCCUGCCCCGUGGCUGCACCUACACCUGCACCUGCACGCCCUCCCCUGUGGCUGCAACUACACCUGCACCUGCAUGCCCUCCCCUGCUGCUGCACCUACAUCUGCACCUGCACACCCUCCCCCGCGGCUGGACCUACACCUGCACCUGCACACCCUCCCCCGUGGCUGCACCUACACCUGCACCUGCACACCCUCCCCCGCGGCUGGACCUACACCUGCAGCUGCAUGCCCUCUCCUGUGGCUGCACCUACACCUGCACCUGCAUGCCCUCCCCUGCGGCUGCACCUACACCUGCACCUGCAUGCCCUCCCCUGCCGCUGCACCUACACCUGCAGCUGCAUGCUCUCCCCCGCGGCUGCACCUGCACCUGCACACCCUCCCCUGCGGCUGCACUUACACCUGCCCCUGCACUCCCUCCCCCGUGGCUGCACCUGUACCUGCACGCCCUGCCCCGCAGGUGCACCUACACCUGCACUUGCAUGCCCUCCCUCGCGGCUGCACCUACACCUGAGCCUGCACACCCUCUCCUGCAGCUGCACCUACACCUGCACCUGCACUCCCUCCCCCACGGCUGAUCUGCUCCUCUUAGCUUCCCCCAAAUGCAGCUGCGUCCAAGUGGGGCUGGGCUGCAGGAGGGAUGGCUCCUUGGCUGACUUGCCGUGUGUUGGGGGAUCUCAGGCCAGCACUCGGAGCAGGCCCCUGCCGGGGAAGGGAACUCAAACAAAAGAAAGUGCGGGCAAGCUGAUGGAUGCUUUUUCUGAAAUAACAGAGGCAGGCUGA
rnacentral:lncRNA from 1 species